rnacentral:lncRNA from 1 species
CCGCGUGGCAGCUACGUCAACAUGGGCUCCACACAAGAAGCCCACGCUGGCAAUUUGUGUGCCAGGCUGAUCGGGCAACUCGGGGAUACUCCCACGCGCACGAACGACCAAGAUCAACUUUCUAAACAGACUCGAUACGUGCCUUCACGUUCUCCAGAUCGAAUGGCCCAGAUGAAUUCCCUAAACAAGCACACUCGGACGGCCCG